GGCUUUCACAGUAGAACAAAGAAAUGCACUAGAAUCAACAAAAAACUGCACACAAGCACAGACUGACAAACACCAAUGUGCAAAAGAAGAUAACAGUUUUGUUUCUGUCAGAAUCAUUCAUACUUUCUGAUGUCUGGUAACUACCUCAAUAAGUUCUUCACUCAAAAGAUGGUGUGAGUAUGGAACAGAAUGCCAUGGAAGUAGUAGAUGUGGGUUCAACUGCGAUGUCUGCGAGUGUUUGAAUAGGCCCUCUCAUCUCCCAACGGCAUGGCAAAGAUUCGUUCCACUGGACUCUUGCACCAGUCACAGAACAUGCUGAAGGUUAUAAGCUGGAAUCAGUGGUCAACUGGAUAAUAGAAUUAAGGUCAUAUUAUCAACUCUGUCAUUAGAAUGAUGGACAGCAGG